AAGCGAUUGUCUAGGUAUGAAGGUUUAAAGUGUACUAAAAUGUACUCUCCAAAUAAUCUCAAAUCGUACGGUGAGCAGCUUGACUAGACUCGUGAUGUGGGUAAUCUUAAAAUUUUUGUACCACACUUUCUCUACUUGGAUUUGUCGCGAUGGUAAUAGCUGUGUUUGUUAUUUGCCUUUUUGCCACUGUGACCGCAGACUGCACGUAUGAUAGUGUUAUAAGUUACAGAGGAUGCGCUAACAGUGGUCACAACGGUGAAAGAUGCUGGAACUGGCUACAGGCCAACAAAUGGGGUGAUGACGAGUUUAUAACAAGAAAUGAGGCUGCAGAAAAUGGAAUCGGUGACCACAACUACUGCCGCAACCCGGGAGGACUCCGUUUUGGAGCGUGGUGUUACAGGGCUUACACUAAUAUAAAGGUCUAUUGUGCCGGUGUGGAUUAUGAGAACUGCAUCACCCGGCCAGAGGACGACUCAAAGUGCCCACAAAAAACUCAGCCAAGGGAAGGAACGAUAGAAGAACCAGCCAGAACCACAGCCAGAACCACAGCCAGAACCACAGCCAGAAAUACAGCAGAUGAACGCAAUGAUAGGUGACACACUAGAUCUGGAGUGUGUAGGAGGAUGCAGCGAAAUCGUGCAGUGGGAAUCUAGACCAGGACUGAAUGAAGGCAGAAAGAACUCCAACAGGUUCACUGUAAACCCAGUAACAGCGGAGACAGCAGGGAACUGGAACUGCAGGUGUGGGAAGAGACGGUUUGUGAAAGUUGUGAAGACCUGCACCAUGACAUGGUCAGAUUGCCGACAAGAUGGAGGGAAGUGGAUCACAGAGGGGACAAACAGCUGCACUGGAACAUCAUUCCACAGCUGCACCCCUAGACGUGAAGAAGAGAAUUCUUCUGAACAAGAUGAGGCAGAUACUCAUGGUUCCCCGGUGGAAUCCAAUGAUUAUGAAGGAAGGCCCACUGAAGAUGCUGUUGAUCCACAGGCACGAAAAGAUGGAAGAGGUGAGGAGGAGGAAGGUUCCUGUACAGGUGCCAAGUGUGGUUUCUGUAACAGAAACUCUCUAAUCUGCGGCGCUAUAGGAUGCUUUGGGGGAGCAAUCACAGUGAUAGCAGCUGUUUUUGUGAGGAAAUCUCUCAGUGGAGAAGAGAAGCAAAAGAAUUCCGCUCCAGCAGUGGAGGCACAAUGGAAACACACCUGACUGCAACACAAUCCUUCUCCAGACAAACAGCUGACAGGAACCACCUGGACUACGAGCGGGCCCUGCAGAUAGAAGACCUGGUCUCACGGAUUGGCACACAACACAAGGAUUCCAACCUUAGCUGUUCCACCAGCGCAACCAACACCCUCAAUCUCCGUCACCUCAGGGAACAUGAUCAGUUGGGUAGGAUUCAGUCAAAGGAGCUACAGAGCACCGACAACAUCGCUUGUCAAAGAUUUGAGGACAGCGAGGUGUUGAUAAACCAUUUUGCUGGAGCCCACCCCGGGGAGGAAGGGAUGGUGUACCAGGAGGAACCGGUUCAGUGGAAGAGGAGCACACUUACGAGCACGAUGGAGAGACCAAGGCUAGAGGACGCAGCUAGACACCGGGAUGGGACACUUACGAGCACGAUGGAGAGACCAAGGCUUGAGGACGCAAACAGGCACAGGGAUGGGACACUUACGAGCACGAUGGAGAGACCAAGGCUUGAGGACGCAAACAGACACAGGGAUGGGACUCUGUUUGACAAGUAUUAUGAUCAGGACGUGGACAAGUGGAGCAUCCAGGAGGAAGUAGAGAUAUAGAAAACUAGUUUUAGUUUUUAUGGGAUAGUGGUUUUAUCCUUUUGUCGAUUUUGAUAUCGCGCCAUCAAUCACGAUCAUGAUUUUUUCAUACAUGCAUUUUCUAUCUAGAAAAUAUCUAAAGUUUCAAGGUCAAUACAGGACUCAGGGCUUUGUUUUUGUUUUUUUCUGAAAUGGAUAAUUUUAUAUAAGUACAUUAGCCAGUAGCCACUGAUCAUACCAAAGUCAGGCUUUUGUUUAGAAAGUUGAUGAAUAUUUUUUUCUGAUACCAACAGAAUUGUUUUGUAUAAUACUUUAUUUUUACGUUAUGUAUCUGAAAGUCAUAGGCUUCAAUGCAUUUAUUUUUAACGCUGUUCGAUUUUUUUAAA